rnacentral:tRNA from 1 species
GGGCCAGUGGUCUAACGGCAUGACAUCGCCUUCGCAAGGCGGUAAACCGGGUUCAAUUCCCGGCUGGUCCA